rnacentral:rRNA from 1 species
CGCGUAGGAACCUGCCCAGUAGUGGGGAGUAGCCGGUCGAAACCGGAAUUAAUACCGCAUACGCUCUACGGAGGAAAGGGGCGUUCGGCUCUCGCUAUUGGAUGGGCCGUGCGUGAGAUUAGCUAGUUGGUGAGGUAAUGGCUCACCAAGGCGACGAUCUCUAGCUGGUCUGAGAGGAUGAUCAGCCACACUGGGACUGAGACACGGCCCAGACUCCUACGGGAGGCAGCAGUGGGGAAUAUUGCACAAUGGGCGCAAGCCUGAUGCAGCCAUGCCGCGUGUGUGAAGAAGGCUUUCGGG